AAAAAAUCUCUCACGUCUUUAUCUCUCUUGGCUCUUGCAAGAAAGCUUGACAUUAGUAGAGAUAUAGAAGGAUCCUUUCUUCUGAAGUCAAUUUUGUAGAAGAAACCUUUCUUUCAUCUUUGUUCCACAUCAAGAGGUAGAAACCCUUUUCGCCCAUCUUCUCCGUUCUCUCUUUCUCCAACAUUGCACUUUAAUUUAAGAAAAGAGGGGAAAUUCUUUAGUUGUGAGAGCUGAGGAAACAGUGGCCUCUGCAUGCAGCAUUCGAUCUUCACCAUGGAUUUGGAAAUACAAGAGUUGUAGGAUAGAAAGAGCUUGAGUUUUUUCCGUGAUGAGCUCCAGAUCCGAAUGUCAAGUAUCUACAAUGUCAUUUUGAAGGAGAGGAAUCUGCCCUAUCCCUGCUAAAUGACCACAAGAAGAUUGAUUCAAAUCUAAAAGAAACAAUUCUCGGAGUACAAAUCUCAAUCA